rnacentral:rRNA from 1 species
CGUAGGGUGCAAGCGUUAAUCGGAAUUACUGGGCGUAAAGCGUGCGCAGGCGGUUAUGUAAGUCAGAUGUGAAAUCCCCGGGCUCAACCUGGGAACUGCAUUUGUGACUGCAUAGCUAGAGUACGGUAGAGGGGGAUGGAAUUCCGCGUGUAGCAGUGAAAUGCGUAGAUAUGCGGAGGAACACCGAUGGCGAAGGCAAUCCCCUGGACCUGUACUGACGCUCAUGCACGAAAGCGUGGGGAGCAAACAGG